rnacentral:rRNA from 1 species
CGUAAUAAUAGAAACUAACCAGGAUUCCCUUAGUAACGGCGAGUGAACUGGGAUACCAAUAUACCAUCUGUGCGUACCUCGGUGCGUACAAAUUUUAGCCCGUCGAUACUAUCCUAGCAUAGUACUGGCUUCGGCCGGUAACCCAUCUAUGCGGGAAUUGUAGCAUCGUACAACAAAUAUAUAUUAUACAACGUAUAUACGCGCAACACACACUUAUAUAUAUUGUAUGCGUACACUUACUUUCACAUAAACACACAGCGCUCCCGCGUUGGAAAGCAAGUUUAUAUCCUUUUGGGUAUGCCAUAGAGUGUGACAGCCACGUUUCAACUCUAUACGUACGUACACAUACUGCACGCGUUAUAUACACACUGUAUUUUAUAUAACCUGAGUCGAGUUAUUU